rnacentral:lncRNA from 1 species
GUGCUACAAACUACAAGUUGGUUUGACAGAUGUUUAUGGAGAAGAGGAAUAAGCUUUAUGGGUGGCUCAUUGCAUUGAUCUAAUGUUGGAUUACUUAUGGUAAAAAGAUAAGAAUUAUAUCUAUGCUAGAAUUGGAAAAAUAUACUAUGCAUCAAGCAAACAAAAUCACAAAGGAAACAACAUAAUUAACAUUGAACUAUCUCAGAUUCUCUUAUCAUUAUCUCAAGUAGCCACUUAUAUAGUUAGUAUACGCAUAAGUAAGUAUGCAUAUAUUCAUAACCUAUUCAAUUUGACUUAGAUUUUACGAGAUUAAAUUACUAUUAAAUUAGAAUUUAAGAACAACGAAAAUAAAUCAGUUAAAGAAUAAAGCUAUGAAUGACAGAGAAAGAAAUAUUGGACAAUUAAAAAGUUGUUGAACCUGAUCUGAGAUGCGGUGGUGGUCGAGGAGCGACGAUUGAAGUGGACGAUGACAUUGCGAGCGGAUUCUGAAGUGUCGUGUGAUUGAUUUCUAACCACUAUGCUUUACCGCCAUUCGUUAUAACCAAUGUUUGACAGCAUUGGUCACUAAUUGAACCACAUGACCUAAUCUUCAUAUAAAAUAAAAAAUCAUACAUAAAUUCCAUAUAGAAAAAUAGAUGCAUCUGGCAAACAAAAUCACAGACAACAACAGACCAAUUUGUUUUUUUUUCUGAAGAAUCAACAGACCAAAUAUUAAACAGUCUCAGAUUCACUUCACUAUAUAGUAGAGAUACUCCUUAGAUUAGGCGUGUCCCAGUGUUGGAUACAUAUCUUGUUCGACACCAACAUGGACACUUAGGUAGACACUCCUUAGAUUAGGCGUGUCCCAGUGUCGGACACAUGUCGUGUUGUGUCGUGUCAGUAUGGACACCUGACACGACACCGACACAUAUAAUUACACACCGAACUAUGAUUUUAUUUCAUAUUAUUAGCAGUGUAGGCGUGUCGUGUCCGUCGGGUGAGUCAUGUUACAUUACAUAAACUCAUAACUUAUUUAAAUUUAAUCAUCAGAAAAUUAAGAACAACGCAAAUAAAACUGAAUGAAAAGGGGAAAAUGAAAAAGUUUAGAAUUCAGUGGGGCAAAAGCAAAAGUUGUUAAACCUGAUUUCAGAUGCGACGGUGGUGGUCGGCGAACGACGCCGUGGAGUGGUUGGCGGAGAUCGACGAUUGCAGUGUGAAUUCUGACUGAGAUGAGAUUGUUGUUUCUAUUUUUUGUACAAAUCAAACGGCGUCGUUUUCCAUUUUCUUUAAAAAAUGACAUUUUCUUUUUUAAAUUCCUAUAAAUUCCUUUUUUUCAAUUUUCAUCAAUUUUUAGUCGAGUAAUACCUUAAAUUCGUCCACAAAUUUUACGAAAUAUCUAUUUAGUCCCCGAAUUUACAAAAUGUCAAUCAAAUCAGUCCAUCCGUUAAGUUAGCCUGGUAAUGGAGGUGACGUGUACUGUUAAUCUCUUACAAGGCUUACCACGUCAGAUAUCACGCAAGCAGGGACCAAAUUGAUUGAUUUAUUAAAAAUUGUCAAGGACCAAAUUGAUUGAUUUUCAGAAAAUUGUCAAGAAUCAAAUUGAUUGAUUUUCAUAAAAUUGCAAAAUUUCCAACGACUCUUUCUCAUGAACGACUCUUUCUUCCCUAAAUAUAUAAAUUUGGAAAUCUAAUUUUAUAAUUUGUCACCUAUGAGGCGUUUGUUUCAGAGUUAAAAAAACACAUUCCUGUUAAUAGAGGUUGGGAAAGAACUAUACCAUGUUCAAAAUUAAAAGCUGAAUUUCAAAAUCAUGUUUAAAAAUUUGAUCUUUCUUAGUUUUAUAGUUCCAAAGGUAUUUUACAUCAGAAGUCUUGUGUUGAAACUCCCCAACAAAAUGGGAGAGUUGAAAGAAAUCACCAAACAUAUUCUUAAUGUGGGAAGAGCUCUAUUAUUUCAGUCUAAACUCCCUCAAAUUUUUGGUCUUAUGCUCUUGUUCAUGUUACUUAUAUCAUUAAUAGAGUAUCUUCCACUAUCUUGCACAACAAGUCACCAUAUCAACUUCUUUUCAAUCAAGAUCCUGAUUUUAAUGGUCUUAAAGUUUUUGAUCCAUUGUGUUUUGCUUCUACUAUUAGCUCAAACAUGACUGAACUUGAUGCUAGAGCAAAAUAUAUGUGUUUUCUUGGGUUAUAAAAGUGGUGCCAAGGGUUAUAUUCUUUUUUAUCUGAAAACUACACAAAUCUUCAUUUCUUGAAAUGAUAUUUUCUAUGAGCACAUUUUACCAUAUUAAAUUGAUCUUACAAAUCAAAAUUUUCAUUCAUACGAUAAUCAUUCUCUUUCUGAAAAGUCUUAUAAUUCUCUUUUUGAUAGAGAAUAAUUUGAUCCUAGUCGUAGUACUCAGUCCAUUUUUCCUGUUAAUCUUGAUCAUAUUAAUCCCUCUGAUAUAGAGAUGCUAAUAUUGAACUCUUGCUCCUGUUGAAAAUAUUGAUCAUGAACCUCCUGCUAAUGAUCUGAGAAGGUCUCAGAGUUAGAAACCCUUUAGUUAGACUUCAAGACUAUGCUUGUUAUUCCUUCACAGAUCAAUCUGUAUCACCUUCCUCAGGUACUUUAUAUUCUUUGUCAAAUUUUCUUUCUUCUUCACAAUCACAUUUUUCACUGUCUAUUCUCACACAAACUGAACCUAAGUCCUAUAAGGAAGCUAUGCAAUUUGAACACUAGCUUAAAGUAAUGGAUACUGAAUCAUUGGCUUUGCUAAAGAAUGGUACAUGGACAUUGGUUGAUCUACCUCAUAAGUUUAAACCUGUAGGCAGUAAAUGGGUUUAUAAAAUCAAAUACCAUUCAGAUAGAACCAUAGAAAGAUACAAAUCUAGAUUGGUAGUCAAUGAUUAUAAUCAAGUUGAGGGAUACAAAUCUACAAUGAUGCAUGUAGAGUCAUAAGAUACUUGAGGAGUUAUCAUGAAAAAGGGUUAUUCUUUCUUAAAUCAUCCAAUACUCAACUCUUAGGUUUCACUGAUGCUGACUAGGUAGGAUGUGUAGAUACUAGAAGAUCCAUUAUUGGUUUAUGUUUCUUCAUUUGUUCAUCUUUAAUAUCAUGGCGCACCAAGAAGCAAAAUAUUGUAUCCAAAUCUUCUAGUGAAGCAAAAUAUAGAGCACUCUCGGUUGCAACUUGUGAAAUGUAAUGGUUGAUCUAUUUACUAAAUGAUUUUAAAAUGAAGAAUACUAAAACUCCAGUCUUGUAUUGUGACAACUAGAGUGCAUUACAUAUCGUACUCUCUCCGUCCUAAAUUAUAUGACGUUUUGACUAUUUGACACGUAUUACGAAAUGUAAUUAAUUUUGCAUAAAAAAGAGAUAUUAUGAGUUGUUUUACAAAAUUGUCCUUAAUAAAUGGUAUGAGAAAGAUAAAUUAAAGAUUUGAAAGAAGUGAGAGUAAUAAAUAGCUACGGAUAUAAUAGAAAAAAUAAUAUUAAUUCUUCAUUGGUAUUGCAAAAUGACAUAUGACUUAGGACAAUUUUUUUUUCCAAAGCCACAUAUAAAUUGGGACAGAGGGAGUAUUUGGUAUGACAUUUUCCUUCCCCACAUUAUAUUAAGAUUAAUUGAACUCCUGGUCCCUUAACCUUCUUUUUUUUCAAAUUGGGACUAAAUUGACGGACAAAAACAAAGACAAAGGAUCAAUUUGAAAAAAAAAGAAUUAAGGUAAGGGAUUGGGGGUUCAAUUAAGCCUUAAAUUAAAGUUGAUGAUAAAGGAGAGUUUCACAAAUCCAUGUGAGCUUAACUCAUCUGGUAAGGAUAAUGCAUAGUAUAUGCAAGGUCGGGUUUGAACCCCGGACACCACAAAAAAAAAAGAGUUUCACAAGUGAAAUAAUAUUAAAAUUAAUUUAAAUUAACCAUAGUUCGAGUUUAAGACGAAAAAGAAAAAAGGAAGAUAUAUUUUUUUAAUAUAAUUUGAUAUUUAUUUAUUUAUUUCAACUUUUAGAAAGAAAAAAAAAAAUCAAAGUUAUCAUUGCGGAGUCAGCCAUAAAUUUUGGUAAAAAAAAUUGACCACAAAGAGAAAAAAAAGCUGAAAUGCCAUAUUAGUUUUAUGAAUCUAAUGUGAAAUUCAUUCCCCUCCAUUGUAUACUUUUUUAAAAUAAAAAAGUGAGUCAAUCAUGCAUUGAAUUUUGUCAAAUACUGAUAGGCUCUUUGUCUUUGUAAUUAAUUAUGGAUUUGACCAAAUAUUGCAAUGCCACAAUAAAAAAUAAAAUGGAUUGAAACCCCCUCUUGGUUUUGUGAGUCAUGGUUCGAUAAAGCCAAAAAACAUAAUUUAUCAAGUUUCCUCUCUAAGUUUUGUGACUAUCUCUUCCUCUUCAAACACGUGAGACCGUGAAGUUGCUAUCGACCUUCCAAAGCAAUAGUUGGUCUCUCAAUCUUAAACUCUCAAUCACACACAGUAAGCUCCUGACUGCGUUGUCUCUUUUUUUUUUCUUUUCUAAAUCAAUGUUGUUUUCCCUUAUUUUUGAUUCAUAUCAAAUUUGUUUGUCUCUAUUUUUAUUCUUUUGUUUUUCCAUCUAAAAUUAAUUGUCUUUGUUUUUCAUAUUUCUGUAAGAUGGCUGGUACUAGGAGUAAUGUUCGAACUAGGAGUAGUGGUCGGAGACUUGAUGUAGCAUGGCAACAUGCCACUUCUGUAGGCAAUAAAUCUAGGAGUAAUGUUUUUCAUAUUGUCUAUUGUCACAAAGAGUAUUCCUCAAGUGUUUCACGGUUAAAGCACCAUUUAGCUGGCACACAUAAAAAUGUUGCAGUGUGUUCAUCUGUUCCGUAUGAAGUUCAUCAACAAAUGUUAGACAAAUUGGAAAGCAAUCACAUAAAGAAUAAGGGAGGAAGAAAAAAGGUAGAAACUUUGCUUUUUUUUUUGCAUGUUGUGAAAUAUUUUUUCCGAAUCAAAUUGAUAAUUUCUAUUUUGUUUUAUGGUCUCUGUUUUUUAUUUUUUACAUUUAAAGGCAAAUUCGAAAUGAUUACGAGUUUUUGGUUUUGAAAGUUUAUGUUGAAAACAAAAUGUGUUUGUGUAACAUUGUGUUAAGUUGGUUUUUAUUUUACCAAAUUUUGAAAUAUUUUUAUCCUAAAAUUCAAAAACACAAAAAUAGGUUUUUGUUAAUUCUUUCUAAUGUUAAGCUGAGAUAUGCGCUUUCAUCUCUCUUUGUGACAUUAAUUCUAAAAAGAUCCUAUAAAUCUAAUUAUCUUUCUCUUAAUGUUUUCUUUUUUCCUUUGUCAUUUUUUUUCAGAGGAUGAAUAACACCCAACAAGCCCCCAUGGAGAAAGUGCUCACCCUAGGUGGUCGAGUAACUCGUGCUAAGUCGAAAUUCACUUCAAAGGCAAACUAUCUUCCUGACCAUAUAUAUAUAUAUAUUAAUUUGCACGUUCAAAUUAAUAUAUAAUCAAGACAUAUAUAGAGAAUAUCCUAGGUUUGUUCAUGACUACAUUCAAAACUUCAGAUGGCAUAUACCUCAAACAAUUCUGGUUCAUUACCCUGCGCUGAAGUUGCUUGCUGAGAAAGUUACUAUUCCAAUGGAGGACAAAGAAAACAAACUUAUUUGGAAUCACAACUCUAAUGGAGAAUUGAUGAUGCGUGACUCAUAUGCCUUCAAGAACCAACCUGUAAAUACUCAGAACUGGGCCAAACUCAUCUGGAGCAAAGAUAUACCACCAUCAAAAUCCAUCCUUACUUGGAGACUAAUUCAUGAUAAAGUUCCAACAGAUGAAAAACUCCAGCAAAGAGGAUGCCAACUCCCAUCAAUGUGCUCAUUAUGUGGUACUCAUGUCGAAACAUCUUUUCAUGUUUUCUUUGAAUGCUGCUUUGCUUUUAGAAUCUGGUGUUGAUUUGCUUCUGUCCUUGAUUCACCGCUUCAUUUUCAAUCCAUUCCUGACAUUUGGUCUAUGUGUGACAGAGGGUGGUCCCCUCAAUGUAAAGUAGUGAUUCAGGCCACUAUAGUCAAUAUAAUCUCCACCAUCUGGUAUAAUAGAAACCAACGCAGGUUUCACAAUAGAUCACCUCACUGGCAGCUAGCAAUCAAUAACAUUAUAACUGCUGUGAACCUAUCUGGAAACUACACCAACAAAUCUUCUAAUUCUUCAGUUAGGGACCUCAUCAUCUUAAAGAAAUUCAAUGUUUUGGUUCAUCCCCCAAAGCCAACUUGCAUUAAGGAGAUUAUCUGGUCUCCCCCAAUUGUAGGGUGGAUAAAAUGCAACACUGAUGGGGCUUCUACGGCAACCUCUUCAUCAUGUGGAGGAGUUUUCAGGGACCAAAAUGCUAACUUCCUUUCUUGCUUUGCUGAAAACUUGGGAGGUGGGAGUGCAUAUCAGGCUGAGCUUGCAGCUAUCAUGAGAGCAGUGGAAAUAGCUUCCCAGAGAAAUUGGAGGAACAUAUGGAUUGAAUCUGACUCAGCUUUGGUGGUUAUGGCUUUUAACAAAAUGUCUAUGAUACCUUGUAGCUUAAGAAACAGAUGGAUAAACUGCAGGAAACUUCUUUGUGGAAUGAAUUUUGUUGUAACUCAUAUUUAUAAAGAAGGUAAUAGGUGUGCAGAUAAGUUGGCUUCAAAAGGAUUAGAUAUAGAAGGAGUCACAAUUUGGAUGAACAUGCCUGAUUUCAUAAACAACUUUGUAAUUCAUGAUAGACUUGGGAUGCCCAACUUUAGAGUAUCCUCUGGUUAGGAGGUUUGGCCUUAUGUCCCCCCUCCAUUUUUGUGUUUUCUCUCUUUGUUAGUUUAUGAAGUUUUGAGGUAGUGGCUCUUUGGUGCUCCUCUUUUUUUUGAAAAAAAAAAAAAUUUGCACGUUAUUUUGAUCAACUAACAUUUAUUUACUCUUUUCAAUGUUUGGGGUUUUAGGUUAGUAGAUCUUUGAUGCCUAAAACUUCUGAUAUUGCCUCUUAGAAAUCAGCAGAUGCUUUCCAGGAAAUCCACUCGCCUAUCGGCUCAACCAUCUGCUUUAACACAAGAUCUACCAUCAAAUCAAGUCAUCACCAAGAAGGAGUUUGAUGAAUUUAAGAAAGAUUGCCAGGAUUUUUGGAAUUACAUGAAAAAAGUUGGAGAUUACCAAAAGAAUAUGGGAUGGAGUUUAGCUGAUAUUGACAAGGAGUCCUUCCCACAGUUUCCAAAUCACAUUUUGGAAACUACUCAAGAAAAAGAGAAUGCUGCAACAUCCAAAGCCAAAGCUGCAACAUCCAAGGGAAAGGAGAAAAAGGGUUAUUCUGAGAAGAAGAAAGCCACUGCUGGAAAGAAGAAGAAGAAAGCCGAAAAGGAUGUGGAGCCACCAAUGGAAGAAACAUUGGAAGAGCAUGAGGAAGAGGGGGCGGAAGGAGAGAAAGUGUUAGAAGAGCAGGCUGAACACCAGAAUGAAGGAUCUCUAGCUGAAGAAGAACAAGUUGAAGUUGAGGAUCAGGUAGAAGAAUGUUCUCUAAAUAUUCAAGAUGCUGAAGAAGAGGAUCGGUUAGAAGAAGAAAAUGUUAUGAAGGAGGACAAUGUAGCUGAGGAGGUCACUGAUAAGCAACCAUCGAAAAAGAAGAAGCAACCAAUCCAAGAGCGAGAAUCUGUAGAAGUUCAAGAUGAGGAGCUGCAACAUUCAAGUGAAGAGCAAGUAGUCCCACAUGACACUUCUGAAAAUAAUUCUAUAAGGAGAGUGAUGAAUGUCUACGAGCGCAAAAAGUGGUCAAGCUGGAGUACUCUGGACAAGGCCAUUAAAGAUGGCACUUAUCAAGAAAUAAGACCAAAAAGGAAGCAAGAUGAAAAAGCUGGGGUUGAGAAGCCAAUACUUGAACCCGUGAAAAAGAAGAUUAGAACUAAUUCUAUGUUCAAAUUCACUAAGAAAUGAAUGAUGCAUAGUGUUGUAAGACUGAUAGGGUAGUCUUAAUUAAAUACCUUUGUCUUUUAGUUUCCUGUUUUGAUGAAUUAUUUUAGCUUGUUUCUGCCAUGAAUGUUUUGAUUUAAGCUCUGAAUAAAUUGUUUAUAGUUGAUAGACAUAACUCCUAAUUUCAAACUAUGAAUUUAAAGAUGUUUAGACCAUUCAACUCUAUGUUAGGAGGAACUUGGAGUAUUUUGAUUUCUGUAUUGUAUCCUUGCACUUGAAUUAUAUUUUGAUUUUGAAUUAAGUUGGGACCCUAUGAGGAUAGUUAUGGUGAACAAGUGGGACCAUUGCUAGAAAUUCUCGAUUUUCCUGCGGAAUUACCUGCCAGGAAACCCUUUUACUGCGGAUUUUGCCAAGGAUUUAGGUUCCUUGGUAUAACCUUCGUGGGUAGUUGUUUCCUUAGGAUUUUAGUAACCGCAGGAAAAUUUCGUGCGGAAUUUUCCUCAGGAAAAGUGAAACAUAUCCACAAGAUAGCAUUAGUUACCCUGCCCGUGAAUGUUUCCUGUGAAUAUAUUGCAGGUAAUUCCGCUGUAAACGUCGCAGGUAAUUCGGCAGCAAAGCUGUUUUCGCAGGUAAAUCCUCAGGUAAUUAUAACUAUCCGCAUGAAUUUACUAGAAUUAUGGCAAUGCAAAGAUUAUUUUUUUUCUGAUGAACGCCAAUGGGCGUAGUAAAAAUCAUCUUUCAUUAUUUGUUUGCCAAAGAUAUUUAUUAGAAAGAGUCAAAUUUGGGACAUAACUUAUGCUUUUUUUCUUAUAAGCUAAAACUUUCAUUGAAAGAGAACACCUAGCAAUAACACAAGAUCUUCCAAACUAGGAACAUUACAAUGUCUAAAUUUGAUAACCAUUAUCAUGGAAAAAUAAUUCUAAACCAUUUGAUAACCCAUUUCACAAGAUCUUAUUACAACUUCAAUAUAUUUGAAUACAAGUUUUCCGCCACCCAUCCAUCGUAUAUAACUAAAACCUGGACAGUUUUUCCUUCAACCGUUCAAAGAAUUCUUCUACGCUUUCCGAUCAGCAAAAUCUGGUUGGAGCCGUAAUUUAAAAUAAGAAAUAGGCCAGGUAACCUUUUUUAGAAGAAAGAAGAGCACUGAAAUACAAAGAACUGAAACUUUUUUGCAGGCAGAAGACGAACCUCUUUCUUAACUUGAGCUUCAAGCUUAUCCCAACCUACUCCUUUUUCAGAAAUCACCAAACAUAAAGUAAUAGCCUUAGGUGGAAUUGUGGUCUCUUUGCUGAAUUCUAGGGACUUCCAGUGAAUAGAUUCAGUUUUUGAAAGACGAAUUUCAAUUUUGGUGGACAAGAAUUCAUACCGGCAUCUGGAAGGUAUGAUCUGAUUGAAGAUAUAAUCACAGAUUAAAAUAUUAUACAGAAAAAUAAAGCAAUGCUAAAGUAAAACAUAAGGGAUUUAAUUUUGAAUUUCAAAUAAAAAGGAUUGAAACAGGACUAAAUAAAUAAAUAACUAUUUGUCGUAUCAACAUUAUACACAAUUUUUUUAGUAUAAGCCUAUCAGGUUGUAAACUACUCUUUUCUAGGUGAUCCAAGCUUAUUACACGUGAAUGAAAGCUCCCAUUCAUACCUUUCCAAACAAGCGUCAAUAUCAUUGGUUUGAAGUUUUAUCUUCGCCACUUCUACUAUUAAUGAAGUUUACCCUUAUGCUUUCAAAAGAGUUCAUUUUUUACACUUUUCGAUACCUAAUGAAGCCCUAAUCACACUACUAAAUCUACGAUUUUCCUGCGGAUUGCUGAAAAAUAUCCGCAGGAAACCAGUUUCAUGCGGAUUUUCCCAAUGAUUCAGGUUCCCAAGUAAUACCUUCGUGGGUAAUUGAUUCCUGACGAUUUUAGGAUCCGCAUGAAAGCUUCCUGCGAAUAUAUCCGCACGAAAUGUCAAUAAAUCCGCAGCUAAAGUUUGGUCAGUUUUAAAGAGUUUACAUUCCCGUAAGCUUGUUUACUGCUAACAAUCCGCAGGUACUUCCGCAGCAAACGACGCAGGAAAAUUCGCAGGUAAUUUAUUUAAGAGAAAAAAAAAGACUGGUAAAUCUGCAACUCAUGCAUUUAAAUUUAUUCAAUUUAAUAGAAUAUAAUACACUUCAAAGCAUUCUAUUUAAUUUAUUGUAACAAAAAAAAUUAUAUUUAAUUUAUAUAAUUUAAUAAAAGAUAAAUUUGCGGAUUUUCCUGCGUCGUUCGCAGUAAGUUUUCCUGCGGAUCCUAAAAUCGUCAGGAAUCAAUUACCCAUGAAGGCAUUACCUGGAACCUGAAUCCUUGGGAAAAUCCGCUUGAAACCGGUUUCCUGCGGAAUUUUGGCCGCAAUCCGCAGGAACGUUUGCAGGAAAAACGUAGAUUUCUAGUAGCUUCUCUUAUCUCUGAAAAUCCCACCACAAGAAGCAGUCACCCUCGACAAUGACCAUCUGUACUUACCUUAAUCCAAUGACAAGUGGCCGAUUUCCACCAAACAGUAGCAAUGUCUUUGAAGCACAUGAUGUGCUUUGGUGAAACCAAAAGAGAGUCCAAAAGAACAGAAUCAGAAGGCAAGCAGUUACCAUUAGAAAUAUUACCAGACAUUGCAAUUUCUGAUCCUAUAAUUGUCUUUGUUGCAUAUAUAUAGACACAUUAUUAGUACCAAACCGCAAAAUAUUUUUAGUUGUUGUCCAAAUAAUUUGCAUGGCGUGGAUGAUACUCACAAUGUAAAUGUUCUUAACCUGCGAGCUACACCUUAGUGGAAUACAAUCUGAUCCAGGAAAAGAUAAAUCGAAGGUACAAUUCAACUUGUUCACUAACCACAACCAAAUAUGAUUAGAAAAUAGGUAAUUAAGGAACAAAUGGUUAGAAUUUUCAGUAUUCAACUUACAAAGGAAACAAACAUAAGUAUUUGUACAACUCCUAUGGCGUAGAUUCUCAUCCGUAGGCAUCUUACUGUACUUAAACGACCAACAAAUAAAGAGUAUGAUAAGGUGGAAUAUACUUCUUCCAAAUAGAUGCAGCCAAUAGCAACAUGCGAAGGAUGAAGAAAAGGAAAUGGCUCCUUGGCAUAUAACUUAUCAUCCGAAUAGUGCAGCCAAAUAAUUUUUCCGUAAGGGAGUUACGGAAAAAAUUAUUUUAGCAACUUUAAGAAAUAAAAUAGGUUAAGUAUAGCAAGACGGAUUAACAUAUAUAAGUAAGAGAUUAAGUUAAGUAUAGCGAGACGAGUUAACGGUUAUUCCUUUUCAAAAAAACAGCAUAUAAUUGGGAACAUAAUUUUAUUUUACUUUAGAUAAACAUCAUUAAAUGCAAAAGUGUGGAGAGAAAAAUUAGGUUAAAAUUAGAGAUGACAUUUUGCAUAAAUUAAAUAUAGAGUUAAUAUAGUAAAGUCACACGAAAAAAUAGGUUAAAUUUAGGGUUAAUAUUGCGUCACGGGUUAACAUUUAGAAAUAAAAAAUGAUAUUUUGCAUAAAUUAUAUCUAGAGUUAAUAUAGUAAAGUCACACGAAAAAAUCAGGUUAAAUCAAGGGUUAAUAUUGCUCACGCGUUAACAUUUAGAAAUAAGAGAUGACAUUUUGCAUAAAUUAAAUCUAAGGUUAAUAUAAUAAAGUCACAUGAAAAAAAUUAGGUUAAAUGGUUAAUAUUGCGUCACGGGUUAACGUUUAGAAAUAAGUUAUGACAUUUUGCAUAAAUUAAAUCUAGGGUUAAUAUAAUUUGUUUAGUAAAAUUAAGGAGAAAAAUUAGGAGCGAUUUGUUUAUUUUGAUUUAAUGACGUGAGGUUUAUAUUCCUUUCAUCCAUGAGAAUAGAGAAAGGAAACUAGAUAGAAAAAUAAAACAAAUAUGAAGAAGAAAAAAAUUGAACAUGAGAGAAACAUUAAGAUGAAAAAUAUGAGUGUGUGUUUUGUCCAUGAGAGUAUAAAAAAUAGAUUGAAUUAUCGGUAAUUAUGUGAUUUUGUUGAAGGAGUUGAAGAUUUUUGGGUAAUUGUUAAAAAAAAAAAAAGACUUAAUUAAAAAACAUGUAUCAUUUUAAAAUGUCUAAUAAACAUGUAUUUUGUUAAUUCAUCAUAACACAUGUACAUUUUUCAUUGUCACACCCGAUCAUAUAUCAUAUGGGAAAGAGUUUGAAAAAAUAGAGUUUGAAUACAAAUAUAGAAUGAAAGUGAAUGACAUCCAAAAACAAAGAUUUACGGUAAAAAAAAAAGGUUAAUUAAGUAAAUGUUCCCUAUAAUUAUUAAGAAUUUAUUUUCAGUUCGUUGAAAAAAAAUUGUAUAUUUGGAUUUUUUGCAAAUCAUGAAGAUCUUGGAUUUUUUCCAAGAGCGGGGGAUACUUUCUCCCACACUGGACGCAGUUGAGCACGUAAACGAAUUCCUUCUAUCAUUGGUUCCAGAAGACGAAAAGGAAUAUAUCAGUUUUGAUUCGGUUUGCAAAUGAGACGAGAAUAGUGAGGUACAAAGUGUCAAGUUGUGAAUUUGAUAAAGAGAGCAACAAAACUGCUAUGUUCAAAAAAGCAAAAUUAAUAAUAUGGGAUGAGGUACCUAUAAUGCAUCGCUAUUGUUUUGAGGUGUUUGACCGAACCAUGCGCGAUAUAAUGUCUUAUGAUGGUGUCGAUAAUAUAGACAAACCAUUUGGGAGUGUUUAUGUUGUUUUGGGCGGUGAUUUCAGAUUUUUUUUUGUCAGUCAUAAUAAAAGGAUGCAUACAAGAUAUAGUUGCUUCAUCCAUCAACUCAUCAAAGUUUUGGAGUUAUUGUAAGGUUCUCACACUUACAACAAAUAUGUGUUUAUGGGCUUCAACCGUUUGUGCCGAGCAAGAUGAGAUAAGAAAGUUUGUCGAUCGAAUGCUUUCAAUUGGAGAUGGAAUAGGAUCCGCCAACGAGAGUGGAUAAAUUAAUGUACCCAUUUUUUAUGAGUUGCUGAUAAAAGAUUCCUCUGAUCCGUUGCGUUCUCUGGUUGAUUUUGUAUAUCCGAAUGUUUUGCAAAACAUGAAUAUCUUGGAUUUUUUCCAAGAGCGGGGGAUACUUUGCUCCCACACUAGACGUAGUUGAGCAUGUAAACAAAUUCCUUCUAUCAUUGGUUCCAGGAGACGAAAAGGAAUAUACCAGUUCUGAUUCGGUUUGCAAAUCAGAUGAGCAUAUAGUGAGGUACAAAGCGAAUGGUUUACAACAAAAUUGUUAAACAAUAUCAUGUUUUUUGGUAUUCCAACCACAAGUUUAGAUUUAAAGUUGGAUGUCCAGUUAUGUUGACGAAGAACAUUGACCAAGCAACUGAAUUGUGCAACGAGACUAGGUUGAUUGUACACAAUCUUGGGAAGAACUUCAUCGGUGCAACUGUUAUUACCGAAAAAAAUGCUGGUGAAAAAAUAAUUAUUCUAAGAAUGAACUUAGUUCCGAGUGAUCCUGAACUUCCUUUCAAAUUUACUACGAGACAGUUCCCGUUGGCUUUGUGUUUUGCAAUGACAAUAAAUAAAAGUCAAGAUCAGUCGUUGUCUCAUGUUGGAAUCUAUCUUUCCAAACCGGUUUUUACUCAUGGACAGUUGUACGUCGCUGUGUCGAGAGUCACUUCCAAAAAAGGAUUGAAAAUGCUUAUACUGGAUGAAGAAAAUCGUGUGUGUACUGAGACCAUUAAUGUUGUGUACCGUGAUGUUUUUCGGAAUGUUUAACCGGUCGUUCCUGAUGACUCAGGUGGGUAUGAUUUUUUUUUCUCUCUCUUUUAAACUUCGUUGUAAUAUAUAUUUUUUAUUUGGAUAUGUAUUGGUUGUUGCUACUUGAAACCAUUAUAAUAGUUGCGUAAAGAAAGAUUAAUGUAUUGGCCAUGUAGAUAAACUACAAUUCUGCAACUAACAAUUGAGAUCACACUUCUUAUUUCAUUGUAUAAAAUCUAAUGACAUUUAUUGUUGUGCAAAGAAUAGGCUGAGUGAUCAAUUUGUUAUAGGGACUAAUAUGUUAUAUGAAGUAAUAUUUUUUAUCCCUUAUUGACAAUAUUUUUGGUCUCAUGUACCUUCAGGUGAUGGUUUUGUGCCUCAGGUGACGUGAUAUCAUUCAUAUGUACACAAACUGACGUUAAUGGAAUUUCUAUGGCAUUGAAAUAUCAUUGACCAAUUGCAAUAGGUGCAAUACCUUCUCUUAGGCUCUGAAAUUAACACUGCCUCAUACAUUAAGGUGUUUAUCUACUGAGACUUCGGUUUUUCUAUUAUCUCGUAGAGCAACUCCAAUAUUCUCAUACUAUGUUUAAUUUUAUUUAUAAUGUCAGUAUCCAUCUGAUCUUUCUCAUUUUUCCUAAUGUAAGUCGUACUCUUUCAGAGACCAUAUUAUCAACUAAAUGUUCUACUUCAGUUUUUAUACAAUCUGUUAUAUAUCCGUUUUUCUUCUUCUUUGGAGUGCCUAUAUCUAUGUGCAUGCACAAGACAAUUUUGUAGUCCCUUUUUUAAGCCUUUUUUAUUGUGUUUUUGUUGAUGAGUUAUUUUAUAAUAUGCUUAGUUAAAAAUUAAGCCUUUUCUGUUGUGUUUUUGUUGAUUGAUUAUUUUAUAAUAUGCUUAGUUAAAAAAAUGUGAUAGAUAGUUGGUGUCUUUGUCGUUGUUUGUUAUAUUAUUUUCUACAUUGAUUGAAUACUUAUUUUAUAAGAUGAAUCAAGUGUAUGCACAAUAUUAACUUUGUAUAUAUAAGGAUAUUUGCUAUAUAAAUCAUGAAAUUUGAAAGAAACCAUAUAUAAGGGCAUCUGGUAGAGACAAUUCAUUGGGUAGGGACAAUUAAUUGUAUAUGCAGUGGCAGACCUCGAGACUCCAACACCCCCAAUUAUAUGCAGAACAUAAAAAAAAAGACUCAUGUCUCCGUGAUUAAUUUUAGUCAUCCGUGUAAAAUAUUUCAUCAUUAAAUACUAAUAUUUCGACGUUAGAUCCAUUAAAUCAUUCAUGUUUAAUGAUACGAAAAUCCAAAUAACUAUAUAAACGUUGAUAUUUGUAUAUAAUAUACAAUCGAAAAUACGAUAACGAUGCGUUCUAUUUAUAUAUUGUGUAUAAAAUAAUGAAUUUGUUGUAUAAUUAAAUUUUAUAAAAUAAAAAAUAUAGUCGUAGUUCUAGCCCGUGCUUGGCACGGGUUUCCAAGCUAGUUAGGUUAAAAUUAGAGAUGACAUUUUGCAUAAAUUAAAUAUAGAGUUAAUAUAGUAAAGUCACACGAAAAAAUAGGUUAAAUUUAGGGUUAAUAUUGCGUCACGGGUUAACAUUUAGAAAUAAAAAAAAUAAUAUUUUGCAUAAAUUAUAUCUAGAGUUAAUAUAGUAAAGUCACACGAAAAAAUCAGAUUAAAUCAAGGGUUAAUAUUGCUCACGCGUUAACAUUUAGAAAUAAGAGAUGACAUUUUGCAUAAAUUAAAUCUAAGGUUAAUAUAAUAAAGUCACAUGAAAAAAUUAGGUUAAAUGGUUAAUAUUGCGUCACGGGUUAACGCUUAGAAAUAAGUUAUGACAUUUUGCAUAAAUUAAAUCUAGGGUUAAUAUAAUUUGUUUAGUAAAAUUAAGGAGAAAAAUUAGGAGCGAUUUGUUUAUUUUGAUUUCCCUAACAGUUUACAUUAACAUUUUGAUUUCCCAAUUGGUUUCAUAAAAAAAGACAUCUAUAGCGCAAUUUAUAUGUAUUUAAGUUCAAAUACGUGAUAAUCUUUUUGAACAGAAAAUCGCAACCAUUUUUUCCUUUUUUCUUUCUUUCACUUUUCAUUCCAUGACAUCUCUUUCCUUAAAUUUCACAACCAUAUCUACAUAUGCUCAGACAUUAUCACUCUAAAUGUAUGAAUUCUUUGUUCAUAUAUCAUUAAGGUUUAGGGUAACUACCUUAUUUUUCUAUAAUUUCUCAUUCCCAAAUUUUUCUAAAGUUGAAAAUGUUUAAAGUAAGUACAUCAAACACAUAGAAUGCAUUCCAGUUUCAUGUAAUAGAAAUAGACAUAAACCACAUUAAAACCUAACUUUACCCAAACAUACAAUUAAUUCAAGAACCCUAAUACACCUAGAGAGGUUGAGUUUGGGAUAAGACCAUGUUAACUCUAGUGAAGGAGAAAAACCCAAAUCUUCAUUUUGAAUUUCAUUUGUCAUCGGUAAAAACUCUACCUUCUUCCUUCUUCAUUCCUCUAUAUUUUCUAAAUCUUAAUGAAAAUGUGUACCAAUUCCGUAUUUCUUCACUUGCUAAUCGAAUCCCAUAAUUACCCUAGCGCCCGAGUGGCGGAGGACCACUUGGGCCAAGGUGGGCCACACCCCACCCCCAAAUUUAUUUUUUAUGUGUAAGUACAAAUAUACCACUAAAUUUAAAUACAAACUUUUAAGUUGGCCCACCCAAUUAUCUACACCUCCUUCCGUAUUUUUUGUGAUUUGUUUAUUUGAAGAACAAAUAUACUUUUGGAUCUCAUCAAAUGAUUGAUAUUUCAUUUAUUUGAGAAGUGAAUAAUACAUUAAUUUUGAGACAUUAAUUCUAAAUAUAGCAUGCCCAUUUAUAUUGAAAGAGAAGUUAGUGUACGUAUAAGUUUUGAUUCUAUUUUGUAUGAUUUCAAGUAUUUUGUAAUGCGUACAUAAUUGUUUUAAAAUUUUAAUAUAUGUUGUUUUAUUUUUUUAUUUUCAAUUCUAUGUUUUAUGCACACUACAACAUAAAUUUUGUUAUUUCUAGCAUGUUUUUCAGUCAUUUUCAAUAGGUUUUAAAACCAAAAUAGAGGAGUAUUAGAUCAAUUGCAUAUGAUUUUUGGACAUUUUUAAUGUUUUCUAUAUUUGAGUUUAUAAUUCUAUUAUUUCUGAUACAUAGCAAUUUUACGGUGUUUUGAUGUAAUUCAAGAAGAAAUCAUGUAAAUUGGGAAAGCAAGACAUCUGAAGAUUAGUGAAGACUUUGGAGAGAUCAAGAAUGAAGAUUCAAGAGGCCUCAGAAGAUGUUACAGAAGGAGAAAUUAUUUUCCCAAGGGCCAAGACAUCUUAUAUGGAAGCAAACACCUAAAUGGACGGAAACGGAGAUUUAUGCACCGGAACGUACUCACAGGUUCCCCGAGCAUGCAUGGCCUAGGCGCCUAGAGCAUAGCCUGUGUGCUCCGAGCAUUGCUGAAUGUGGGUCAAAACUGCUUUUUGCUACUUUUAAGUGGGAAAAGCCCGAUUUUUGGGUACUUCAGGUGGAAACUCUCCCUAUAAAUAUCAAGCCUCAUUCGUAAUUUCUCAUUUAGAACGAAGCGGCUCAAAAUGAAGGUAAGCACUAGGAGCUUCCAAAGAGAAGGUUCUCUCUCCUCACUCCAAUUUCUCUAGGCUAUGUUUUAUUUAUUUUGUAAUUUAUCAUUAGUUAUCAUAGGUAACUAAAUCUUUUUAGGGUAGGCUUUAUAGUAUUAGUAAGGUAUCUUAUACAAUGUUGUAGAUAAUUUAUUUUUUAUUUGCUAUCAUUUUCAGAAUCCAAUAUGUCAAUUAAUGGACCCCGUAUCAAAUUGUAGAACUAAGUCAUUUUCAUAUUAGCAUGAUAUUGUUUAAAGAAGGUUUGCUGAGUCAAACUACACCCAAAGUGAAAAUUUUCACACAUUGAUCACAAACAAAAUGUUGUUUUGAUUUCCAUAUGCACAUUCUGGUUUUCAUUUAGGUCGAUAGCAUAUUUUGCAACAACAAAUUCGAAAGAACCAAUCCCCAUCCAGAACUCGAUUGAGACCUAAACAACCAUGGUUUAAUGAAGAAAGACACCAAUCACAAAGUACUAUGUCACAACCAAAACCAAAAAUAGGACAAACAUCAUUAUUUUCUUUAAAAAAUGCAUCGACAACACAAUGAUUUCCUGCUUCAAAAUUUGCUUCGGCAAUACAAUGGUUCCCCUUCUUAUCGUGCAAACUAAAAGCUACCCUUUCACAUUCUAACGAUGUCCUUCUGUCCUCCAACAAGAUACUACUGGAUGGUCUAUAUUUUUACUAACCACAUGAGCCUUAAGUCCACCACAAACUCUAACCUCGUUAAUAUGAAUUUGAAAUUGACAUGUUAAAUAAAAUGUCACAGGAUUCGAGAUUUAUGUUGUUUUUACAAGACAUACACCAUCCACUAGUAUCUUUAUGAAAGACAAAAGGUCAUUGUUGGAAUGUUAAACGGAAGCUCCAAGUUAGAGCGAUCAAAAGGGGAACCAUUGUGUUGCUGAAGAAAAUUCUUAAGAAGGGAAUCAUUGUGUUGUCGUAGCAAAUUCUAAUGAAAAUAAUUAUAUUUGUUCUAUUUGUGGUUUUGGGGGUGACACAAUAUUAUGUGAUCGAUGUCCUUCUGCAUUCCACCGCUGUUCUUUAGGUCUCGAUGGAGUUUUGGAUAGUGAUUAGUUUCGUCCAACUUGUGGCUGCAAAAUAUGUUAUCAACCAAAGUGCAAACAAGAGUGUGCAAAUGGUAAUGAUAACAAUAUUCUUGCGUGUGUUCAAUGUGAGCAAAAAUUUCAAUUUGGGUGUAAAGUCUAUACGAUUAGGAUCAAACUACAUAGAGAGUAAUGUUAAAAAUAUUUUGCAAUUUGCGUAAAUCAUACUUCCUCGCGUAUGUAACCCAUUUUUGCCGUGACUUUCUAAAGCUUAAAUUUAUAGGUUCUCCCCAAACGCACGUUUUUUACUUUCCCACCGCUAGAGCAAACAUAUACUUUAAAAACUAAAUUCACAAACUUAGGACCACACUAACUGGUCCUUUAAACUUUUAAAAACAAAAAAGAAAGACCGUAAAAGAACAGAGAAAACGAUCUUAAUUUGAUGUUAAAAAAAACAAUUCACAAAUGACAAACAACAUGCCAAAAACAAAACAAAGAAAAAGAGCAUAAUUUCAACCUUUUUAAUUUUUCCAAGUUAAUAUCUUUAUAAAUUUGAGUUUUCUUCACCAGCCAUGAAAAACAAAAACAAGAAAAUUAGAUGCAACAAACAAAAAAUGAAGACCAAAUAAUAAAACAGAGAAUAACAAAUCAGUGAAGGCAAUAUUGAUUUAGAAAACAAAAAAACAAAGAAAAAAUAUGAAGAGGGGCUUACAAUGUGAGAUUGAGAUCCCAACAAUUGCAGUUGCAGUGUCAUACACCUUUGAGAAGGAAGAUAUAGUUGACAAACUUAGAAAGGAAGAACAUUUUUAAACUAGGGUCGCUUAUAACUCAAGUAAAUAUGGCCCGUUAAAUCAUGUGAUUCUAUUAUAUGGUUACAAUUUUGAAGCAACCACGCUCGAUCUUAAUUCAAAAACAUUUUUAAACGCUUUUUGAUUUUGAUGCUUUGUCAUCAAUCUUCCCUUUAGAUGCUUUUAAAUCUGAUGCUGACUUUUUGCCCCGUUUCUUAGGGGGUUCACUUUCAUGCUCCACUAGAGGAGCUGCCUUGGCCUUCUCGAUGAUCCUUGCCGAUCUUCUUGGAGUCUCGCCAUUGCCCCAAUCAAAUUCUGAGACCUUCGGUCCACCAUUUCUCUUCAGAUACUCCUCCAUAUGCCUCCUUGUAUGGAUUUUCUCUCCUGAUGGUGCAGUAAAGACAACCUCAUACUUUGUCGGUGUUCCAGACUUUGGAAAGAAGUACUGCAAAGGAAACAUAACUAAUGAAUACUCAUAUGUAAUUAACAUGCAACAAAGCAACAUCUAUAACACAUACAAGAUCUUGUUCCAAGCUAUUAACAAGUAGUCCCUAACGUGAAAAAUGAAUCUGUCUUCCCUACUCUAACAUCACAGUACAUUAUAGGUCUUUGAUGCGCAUGCUGUUAAAAGAUAAAACAAGAAUUAUGCCUUAUGAUUGAAAAUGUUUCUUCCUCUUCUAUUAAUCAAAAACUUAUUUUGUUGUUACAUUUUAAAGCAUUUUAGUGCCUAGUUAAACACCAUAGGCAGUUAUAAAUAAGCUAGCUGUUUUACUGUUAAACUUCAGUAACUAAGAGCGCAACAACUAGCAUGGCACCAAAUUAACCUGGUUCAGUCUCAAGACAGGUAUCCAUGGCUCAUAAUGACCAAGAAAGAAAAAAACGGACACAUAUGGACUGUACUGAAAAUAAUUGCCAAUCUAAAACUGCAGUAAUAAAGAAUACAUAGAUGCUCCUCGAGUUAGGAUCAUACAAUAACCUAGAGGGUGUAUGUACCUAGACAAAAGAGUAAGUUUAUAUGGAGCUUGAGAACUCAAGAUCACACCACGUUAAUCAGGGUUUUUCAUCGAAAAAGAAAAAAAAAAAUUAAUUGGUGAUUGCAUGGGUUUUGUAAAACUCGGGGCAAAUCAAUACAAUUUACUUCAAGAAAUAUUAAAAAAGGCUGUUACAUAGAGGGUUUAACAAUAUCAGAAAUUUUUUGAAUAAAUGGGUGCAAAUAUGGCAGAAAAUAUUAUGAAAUUUAUUAGACGUUUACAUGGUAAGAAACAUGGUUUAUUUCCUCCAUACUGACUUAUGUGUGGGCAUAAUUUACAUGACUGAUUUAAUGGGUUCAAUAAUACCAUAUGGUUCAUGCUCUGAUCAGUGUUGGAUUUGGUAACUAACACUAAGCCCGAUUGAACCAGAAGGGACAAUCUGUUGAAUGAUUUGACAAUCUAAUAUCUUAAGAUCGGUGCUAACCGAAAAUGUAUUAGUUGGAUCACUGUCUUUAGAGCAAACUGAACACCUUAGAAACAAAACAGAAAAAGAAAGAAAAAAAGAACAACAGAAAAGCAAACUGUAAUGGAUUGCAAACAUGAAAAUAUUAAUGUUAAAAAUUAAGCGAAUGUUCAUUUUACAAGAUUUGGGGUAAAGAGGUGUUUGACAAAUGAAGAAUGAUAACUUUACACACAACAAUGGAGUUAAACAACUUCGAGGGGUUGGUCUAGUAGUAAAAUGACAGGCCUUGGAUCUGGAGGUUCCAGGUCGUGACCCACUAGUCCCCUUGGAAAUAAGUAAAUGGAAAUUCCUUUAAAAGUGGUUUUUGAGCCCUGAAGUCUUCUUCCUCUUUUUAGUUUUUUUUACAUAAAAAAACAAAUUGCUAGUAGAAUUUCACAAAAUCAAGACAAAAUUUUAAGAAUGGGAUAUUUUGUUGGACCCAAACAUGAAAUUACAUAAUCUAUCCUAGAUCAAAAAAUUAAACACAACAAGAUAACAACACUGAAAAAUCAAUAUCAUCCAUGUGUCAAAACCUAGAGCUGUGAAAUGCACAAGUCAUUCUUCAACAAGUUUUCCGCAGAGUAACAAACAACUAGCUCAGGAACAAUCAAGUCCAAUUGCUCAUUACCCAUUUUGCGAAAUUGUAAAAAUAGUUCUAACAAAAGUAAGAAAUUCCCGCAAAGUAAAAAACUUGUUUUGUACCAAGUCAAUAAUCUUGAAAAUCCUAGCAGGUGACUCAACACCCAGCAACUAGAUAAUUCUCCGAAUUUAGAGAACAAAAUACCUAAAUCUUUGACAUGGAUCUUGAAACACACAUUAAACAGUUCAAAAUUCAAGAAAACAACAAAAUGCGUGAAUAUUCAAAAACAAAACCCCAAUUGAGAAAACCAAAAUCACAGCAUCUUACAAACACAAAUCGUGAAAUUAAACAAAAUCAACAUGAAAAUCUAACAAGAAACAAAAAUUACAGCAACACUAAAUUCAAAUUGACUUGAAAUUGAAUAGUCAUUUAGUCAGAGAAAAUCAGAACCUUUUAGGUCCAACCAGAUGGAGCAGGUAGAUAAUUUUCAGACUUCAGAGAACAAGAUACCUAAAUAUUUGACAUAAAUCUAGAGACACACAUUCAACAGUUCAAAAUUCAAAGAAAAAAAACAAAAUGGGUGAAAAUUCAAAACCAAAUCCCUAAUUGUGAAAAACAAAACCACAGCAUCUUACAAACACUGAUCGUGAAAUUAAAUCAAAUCAACACGAAAAUCAAACAAGAAACAUGAAAUUACAAUAACACGAAAUUCAAAUUGCACUAAAAUUGAACAGUCAAAGAAUCAGAACCUUUUUGGUCCAACCAGAUGGUGCAGGUAGAUCCAACCAAACAGGCUCCUCCGAUGCACCUGCAUCUCUGACAGCAGCAGAACCUUCCUUCUCCACUGAGCUCGCCAUUUUCACCUGCCAAUUUCCCCCAAAAAAUUCAAAUAGAACGACAAUAACAGAAUUAAUAAUAAUAAUGAUGAUAAUAAACCUUACAAUUUUGUAUAAUUGAAAAAUCAUUCAUAAAUAAUUGAAAGAUAAUGAAGAGAAGGGAAAAAGGAGAGAAAAAAUACUUAGGGUUUUUGGUUUUGUUUUGAUUUUUGCGUUUGUUGGAGUGAAAGUGAGAUUGGUUGUGUGUGUGUGUGUUUUUAAGUGAAAGGUGGAUAAAAAAUAGAGAAGAAAAAUAUUUAAUGUUUAGUUAAUUAAUUAAUAUUUAUUUUCUUUAUUUAUUUAGUUUGAGAUUGAAACCGAUGAGACACGUGUGGAAUCUCACUAUUGCUUCAGGUAAAAUGAUCACAACUUAUUCACCUCAAGGGGCUAGGGUAGGGACAUUGCGAUAUACAGGGCCGGGGAUUCGAACCCUGAAUUCUCCACUUAUUCACUUCAUGGGGUGAAUUUCUAUGUAAGGAUUGCAGAAAUAUAAUAUGCAUCCAGCAAACAAAAUCACAAAGGAAAUAACAUAAUUAACAUUGAACUAUCUCAUAUUUUCUUCAUUAUCUCAAGGAAUGAAUGAGUUAUUUAAGAACCUAUUCAAUUUCAUUUAGAUUCUGUUAAAUUAAAUUGAUACUGAAUCAGAAAUUCAAGAACAAUCUUCUGAUCCUAGUUGCGAUCUUGCAUUUUAUGAUCUUGCAACCUCCCUACCGGUCUUCACAACCUUGGUCACCCUACAACAAGCACAAAUUCUAUUGAACCAUGGGGCAAUGAUGGUGUUGUUACUCAACCAGUAUAGCGGCAUCUUACAUCUAUGACCGCUAUUGCAACUGGCGUUUCGCGGGCCAAUGGCAUGGCAGUGGAGGGCCUCGCCGCAACGCUACAAUGCUAUUGACAACUAAGAUUUAAUUCUUCGAGAGAAAAACAACAGCUUUGGUUCACAUACUCUAUGGCGUGAUUUAUGAAAGUUAGGGUUUUGCAGGAAAGAGUCAAGGAAAUAAAGUUACCUUUGUAGAUUUUCGGGAAUAAAAGGAUAGAAAAUAUGCAUUCUCAUGUUUGUUACAAGUUUUUAGAUUUUAUUCGUAGGUAUAAAGGAUUCUUGGGGAAGUUGUUUUAUUCCCAAGGAAAUGAGUGGGAAAAAAAAAUCCCAUGGAGGGGAGAAUAAAUUGAUGUGUAACUAUCUAUAAAUCUCUGAAAAUAAUUCCUACUCUUUAUAUAGGAGAAAAAACAAGAUUAAAAAAGUAAAAGCAUGAUGUAAAGAAAAGAAGCUAUUGUGUAUUGUUGAAAUUUGGGGCCUAACACAUCUUUACAAAACCGGCUUGUAAGGGGAGGAGUGCCUCCUCUUUAUAAACUCUUCUCAAGAAUGCUAUCUAUCCGAUAUGGGACUAAAUCCACCCCCUCAAAGCAAACACAAUGAAGGUGUUGGAGGCUGCAAUGAAGGCUAACCAAAGGUCACAAUUUAUGCGACUAGGGGCGGACCGCAAUUAAGGCGGAAUUUCCAACACACCCCCUCACGCUCCAGCCCGGCCCAAUGGGCCUGAAGCGUGGACGAUGUGGGAAGCCCAACAAUAGAUCUAGGAUAGGCCUGAUACCAUGUUGAAAAGAUAAGAAUUAUAUCUAUGCUAGAAUUGGAAAAAUAUACUAUGCAUCCAGCAAACAAAAUCACAAAGGAAACAACAUAAUUAACAUUGAACUAUCUCAGAUUCUCUUAUCAUUAUCUCAAGUAGCC